rnacentral:rRNA from 1 species
GAGCUCUGGAAUAACCUCGGGAAACCGGGGCUAAUGCCGGAUAUGACAUUGCCGGGCAUCUGGUGGUGUGGAAAGAUUUAUCGGCUCGGGAUGGGCCCGCGGCCUAUCAGCUUGUUGGUGGGGUGACGGCCUACCAAGGCGACGACGGGUAGCCGGCCUGAGAGGGCGACCGGCCACACUGGGACUGAGACACGGCCCAGACUCCUACGGAGGCAGCAGUGGGGAAUAUUGCGCAAUGGGCGAAAGCCUGACGCAGCGACGCCGCGUGAGGGAUGACGGCCUUCGGGUUGUAAACCUCUUUCAGCAGGGACGAAGCGAAAGUGACGGUACCUGCAGAAGAAGCACCGGCCAACUACGUGCCAGCAGCCGCGGUAAUACGUAGGGUGCAAGCGUUGUCCGGAAUUAUUGGGCGUAAAGAGCUCGUAGGCGGCCUGUCACGUCGGCUGUGAAACCCGGGGCUCAACCCCGGGCCUGCAGUCGAUACGGGCAGGCUAGAGUCCGGCAGGGGAGACUGGAAUUCCUGGUGUAGCGGUGAAAUGCGCAGAUAUCAGGAGGAACACCGGUGGCGAAGGCGGGUCUCUGGGCCGGAACUGACGCUAAGGAGCGAAAGCGUGGGGAGCGAACAGGAUUAGAUACCCUGGUAGUCCACGCCGUAAACGUUGGGCGCUAGGUGUGGGGGACUUCCACGUUCUCCGUGCCGAAGCUAACGCAUUAAGUGCCCCGCCUGGGGAGUACGGCCGCAAGGCUAAAACUCAAAGGAAUUGACGG